GAUGAACGCUGGCGGCGUGCCUAAUACAUGCAAGUCGAGCGAACGGACGAGAAGCUUGCUUCUCUGAUGUUAGCGGCGGACGGGUGAGUAACACGUGGAUAACCUACCUAUAAGACUGGGAUAACUUCGGGAAACCGGAGCUAAUACCGGAUAAUAUUUGAAACCGCAUGGUUCAAAAGUGAAAAACGGUCUUGCUGUCACUUAUAGAUGGAUCCGCGCUGCAUUAGCUAGUUGGUAAGGUAACGGCUUACCAAGGCAACGAUGCAUAGCCGACCUGAGAGGGUGAUCGGCCACACUGGAACUGAGACACGGUCCAGACUCCUACGGGAGGCAGCAGUAGGGAAUCUUCCGCAAUGGGCGAAAGCCUGACGGAGCAACGCCGCGUGAGUGAUGAAGGUCUUCGGAUCGUAAAACUCUGUUAUUAGGGAAGAACAUAUGUGUAAGUAACUGUGCACAUCUUGACGGUACCUAAUCAGAAAGCCACGGCUAACUACGUG
rnacentral:rRNA from 1 species